rnacentral:rRNA from 1 species
GGGAUAUCUUUAGUAAUUGCGAAUGAACAAGGAUAUGCUUAGCUUGACAAAUGGAGCUAUUGGCUUUGAAUUGUAUUGUGGAAAUGUAUUACCAACAGAGGUGCAGGUGCCAGCCUAUUGAAAUAAAGCGUCAAUGAGGGUGAGAAUCCUGUUUGUCAUGUGCAGCCCUUUGUGCACGGUGUAUAUUUGCUGAGUCACACUCCUUGGCAUUGGAAUGCAAAGUGGGUGGUAAGUUUCAUGUAAAGGUAAACAUGCAAUUGAGACUGAUAGCACACAAGUACCAUGAGGGAAAUAUGAAAAGGACUUUGAAAAGAGAAUUAAAUGAGUUUGUAUUUGCUGAACACAAAGUAAACAGACUUGAUUUGCUUGGUGGGAGUGUUGCACUUGCUUGACAAGAGCUUUGGGCUGUGGGUGUAAUGAUUCUUUCUUUGCAUGCCAGUUUCUAUUUGUACAUCUGAUUACCUUUGCACAUGAAUGAUAAGUCUCCUGUGGGGGGUGGAUUGCAUGUGCAUGUAAUGAUUUGUGUUUUGAUAAAUGUGUCUGGUGUAUGUGUGUGUUCCUGUGCUUGGGGAUGCUUCCUUCCUUGGACUUACAAGCCCUGACACACACAUGCU